AUGGUCUCGGAACAGCUUCGUGAAUAUGAGUUGAAGCAAAGCAAGAAGAAGUUGAGGUUUGAAAGUGACUCAAAAGAGUUUGCGGAGAAAGAGAAGCAGAGGAGAGCUGCAGAUGGUGCCAAGGGUGCCAAAUUUGCCAAGGAGAAUAAGCCUUCUUUGCAGAAGAAGAGGCUGAGUACUGUUGCUGAGGAAGGUGGUACACCUCGGCGGAGUCCACGUGUUGCUGGCAUGAACAAGAAUCUUGGCAAGAGAACAGCUGAAGCUGGUGGAAAGGAUGAUCCUUAG
rnacentral:rRNA from 1 species